CAGCAGCCGCGGUAAUACGAAGGUGGCGAGCGUUGUUCGGAUUUACUGGGCGUAAAGGGUACGUAGGCGGCCUCGUGUGUCGGGUGUGAAAUCUCCAGGCUCAACCUGGAAAGUGCGCCCGAAACUGCUAAACUAGAGUACGGGAGGGGAGAUCGGAAUACAAGGUGUAGCGGUGAAAUGCGUAGAUAUGUGGAGGAACACCCGUGGCGAAGGCGGUUUUCUAGCUUAUUCCUGACGCUGAGGCGCGAAAGCAAGGGGAGCGAAGAGGAUUAGAUACCCUCGUAGUCCCGGCUGUAAACGGUGUGCACUUGGUGUGGGGGGCUUUAUCCCCUUCCGUGCCGGAGCUAACGCGUUAAGUGCACCGCCUGGGGAGUACGGUCGCAAGAUUAAAACUCAAAGGAAUUGACGGGGGCCCGCACAAGCGGUGGAGCAUGUGGCUUAAUUCGAUGCAACGCGAAGAACCUUACCUGGACUUGACAUGCCCGUCGUACUUUCCUGAAAGGGAGAGGUCAGCUCGCUGGACGGUGCACAGGUGCUGCAUGGCUGUCGUCAGCUCGUGCCGUGAGGUGUUGGGUUAAGUCCCGCAACGAGCGCAACCCUUGUCGUUAGUUGCCAUCAGGGAGUGAUCCGGCUGGGCACUCUAACGAGACUGCCCGCGAUAAGCGGGAGGAAGGUGGGGAUGACGUCAAGUCAGUAUGGUCCUUAUGUCCAGGGCUGCACACGUGCUACAAUGGCCGGUACAAUGGGACGCGAAGCCGCGAGGUGGAGCAAAUCCUCAAAACCGGCCUCAGUUCGGAUCGUAGUCUGCAACUCGACUACGUGAAGUCGGAAUCGCUAGUAACGGCGUAUCAGCUACGACGCCGUGAAUACGUUCCCGGGCCUUGUACACACCGCCCGUCACAUCAUGGGAAUUGAUUGCACCCGAAGUCGCUGUUCCAACCGUAAGGAGGAAGGUGCCGAAGGUGUGAUUAGUGACUAGGAUGAAGUCGUAACAAGGUAACCGUA
rnacentral:rRNA from 1 species